rnacentral:tRNA from 1 species
GGGGAUUUAGCUCAAUUGGUAGAGCACUUGCCUAGCAAGCGCAAGGCCCUGGGUUCGGUCCCCAGCUCCG